GGUGAACGCUGGCGGCGUGCUUAACACAUGCAAGUCGAACGAAGCAUUUGCGACAGAUUUUUUCGGAAUGAAGUUGCUUAUGACUGAGUGGCGGACGGGUGAGUAACGCGUGGGUAACCUGCCUUGUACUGGGGGAUAGCAGCUGGAAACGGCUGGUAAUACCGCAUAAGCGCACAAUGUUGCAUGACAUGGUGUGAAAAACUCCGGUGGUAUGAGAUGGACCCGCGUCUGAUUAGCUAGUUGGUGAGAUAACAGCCCACCAAGGCGACGAUCAGUAGCCGACCUGGGAGGGUGACCGGCCACAUUGGGACUGAGACACGGCCCAGACUCCUACGGGAGGCAGCAGUGGGGAAUAUUGCACAAUGGAGGAAACUCUGAUGCAGCGGCGCCGCGUGAGUGAAGAAGUAAUUCGUUAUGUAAAGCUCUAUCAGCAGGGAAGAUAGUGACGGUACCUGACUAAGAAGCUCCGGCUAAAUACGUG
rnacentral:rRNA from 1 species